rnacentral:rRNA from 1 species
CAAUAGCGUAUAUUAAAGUUGUUGCAGUUAAAAAGCUCGUAGUUGGAUUUGUGGUGUACUUCGGCGGCCCGUCACUAUGUGAUGGAGCUUGCUGAAGUCGCCAUCCUUGGGUGGAUCCUGUGUGGCAUUAAGUUGUCGUGCAGGGGAUGCCCAUCGUUUACUGUGAGAAAAUUAGAGUGUUCAAAGCAGGCUUAUGCCGUUGAAUAUGUUAGCAUGGAAUAAUAAGAUAGGACCUUGGUACUAUUUUGUUGGUUUGCGCACCAAGGUAAUGAUUAAUAGGGACAGUUGGGGGUAUUCGUAUUUCAUUGUCAGAGGUGAAAUUCUUGGAUUUUUGAAAGACGAACUACUGCGAAAGCAUUUACCAAGGAUGUUUUCAUUAA